GCGAACGUGGCUCAGGGGUAGAGCAUCGCCUUGCCAAGGCGAGGGUCGAGGGUUCGAAUCCCUUCGUUCGCU
rnacentral:tRNA from 1 species